CGGAAUUCUCCCAUCUUGUAGCCUAAGGGGAUAAUUGGCCCAUCUGGCUUCCAUUAACCCCGGUGGGGUGAGUUUGGGGUGAAUACCCCAUCACACUCUACUUCACUUAAGUAGUCACCAACUUGAAUGAUACUACAAUUGGACCCUAAGAGGCCAAUUUUCAAUUACAGAAAGAAAAAAAAAAGAGAGGAGAAAAUACAUGUUUAGGGAGGGCACCUUUACCUGAGCAGAAUAAACAGUUCCACACAGGACUAUGUUAAUGCACACGAGGUACCUUUUAGUUUGCGUCAGCAGGGUCUUCACAGGGCAGUUAAAGCACGUUAGAGCGUAAUUCACAUCCCUGUAGACCACACUGUGGCACCGUGUAGAGAAGCCCUGAGUGAGCAAACUAUGGUCCUACACAUUGUCUUGAGCACAGAAAGUACAACUCGUGUAACUGUCCUAUCAAGAAGCCAUCCAGAGCUCCUGUGGCUGUGUGUAUGUCCAUGCACUGAAUUCUGAGAUUAGCGUGUGGGGAAGCAAUGAGAAACCAAGGACAUACACCAACAACUUCAGCGGGAGAGCCACAGAGGUGAGGAUCAGCUGGGCCCAUGACACAGGUGGUGUUUACUGCCUUGCUGUAUCAUACAAAAUGAAGUGGAUCUCAUCGCUGGAGGGGCAUCUGGUUUCUGGCUGUCUUUGAUGCCUCCUCUUUAUUCCGGCACAGCAAUACAGCUGAACACUCACUGAGCUACGUGAAUAGGCCCUGGUGCAUCAGCCAUCCCCCUAGGGGGGAGGAGGGGAGCAAAUUCUGGAGGAGAUGUGGAAGGGGAACAAAUAACUUGGGGAUGAGUCUGUGGAUUAGAAGCAGCUCCCCCACUGUGUGGUCCCCUCUUCCAGUAUCCUCCAAUCUCAUCCCAAGAGAACAGCGCUUGGGUGGCUUCAGAGGGUGAUCGGGAACAAGCGCUGUCUGUGCUAUGUGGAUGGGGUAACUCCCAAUCUGCCUGCAUUGCCUGGAAGGAGGAGUGCUGGUG